rnacentral:misc_RNA from 1 species
AUCAGUGUUGUUGGUGUUGUUUAUUGUGAUACCUGCUCCACUAAUUCUUUCUCUAGACACAGCUACUUCUUGCCAGGUGUGGAUGUUCAUAUACAAUGCUCAUUCAAAGCAAACUCACCUAAAACAGCAGAGCAGAUAAACUUCUCAGUUAAUCGAACAACAGAUAGAUAUGGGAUAUACAAGCUGGAAAUACCACAAGUUGAAGGGGUCGAUUGUGUGGAUGGUUCAGCAAUUGAAUCUUUAUGCCAUGCAAGUUUAAUAAAGAGCUCAUCUUCUGGCUGUGAUGUUCCUGGAUUAAAGACAACAACUAAUGAGAUA